GUUUUUGAUGAUCAGAGUCCAUGAUCUGUUGACUCCACUGGACGACAAAGAUCUUGAUGAAACGGUGACUCAGAUUCUGCGGCACCAUCCAAACUGUGGAUACAAAAUGAUGCUUGGGCACCUGAAUGCACAAGGCAUCCGCAUACAGAGGCAACGUGUGCAGGAAUCCAUGCAGCGCGUGGAUCCUCAUGGAGUUUUGAUGCGCACCCUUCAGCUAAACCCACGAAGGCGCAGGAGGUACUCUGUACCAGCACCAAACAGUUUGUGGCACAUCGAUGGCAAUCAUAAAUUGAUAAGAUGGCGUUUUGUCGUGCAUGGCGGUAUCGAUGGCUUUAGUCGUCUCAUUGUGUACCUGAAGGCCACCACCAACAAUCGCGCAGCAACAGUCCUGAGAAGCUUUCUAGAAGCUGUCAAUGUCUACGGUGUGCCAUCACGUGUGAGGUCAGAUAAAGGAGGGGAAAAUGUUGACGUUGCACGCUACAUGGUGGCUAAUAGAGGACUUGACAGGAAUUCACAUAUUGCUGGAAGGAGUGUCCAUAAUCAAAGGCUUCUGUUGUUUCUGCCUAUUGAGAAGACAUGCUGCAGUUCCUUUCCCCUUGCUGCUUUUGGUAGAUUUUGAGGGUCUAAGUCUAAUAGAGAGGCUCUGGAGAGACGUUUAUGUGGGAGCGCUUGAUCUGUUCUACACAAUCUUUACCAACCUUGAGAGAGAAGGCCUCCUAAAUCCGGACAACGAAGUGCACCUCUAUGCUCUACACUGGUGCUUCAUGUCUCACAUUCAGAGACGCCUUGAGAGUUUCCAGCAUGGCUGGAACUGCCACUGACUGAGAACUGAGGGAAAUCAGUCCCCACUUCAACUGUGGACUCGCCAUGAGCAUGAGGCACAGCAGGACCCCAUGCAGGUAAACAAAUGGCGAGGAGUCAGGAGUGUAACCAAGCCAGCAGGAGUGUAACCAAGACUCAGGUGGAGGUAGAGAACGGAGAGGAAGAGGAGGAAGAGGCACAAACAGGCCAGGUGUCCUCCAGAGAGUGUGCCAUCAUGUGAAGUCUUCAUGUCCUGUCGCUGGCCUUGACUUCCACAUUAUAUCUUUUUUUUCUCCAGAGCCACUCAGAUGUGAUCCUGGUCAUUGCCUCAUCAUUUGAUGUUCUUUAUUGUUCAAGACGAUAUUAGAAUUUUUUGGACUAAUGGAAUGUUUCUACUACUCCACAUUUCUGGACCUGCUUUAAUAGGAGUCAUUUCUAUAAAACAAUACAUGUUUAUGUAUCAUGCAAACAUUGAGUCAUACUGUGGUGAGGUAACUGAAUAUUCCCACCCCUACUAACAUUACUCUACUUCCACUGGCUGUCUUUCACUCUUCCUCAGUAAGCCUUUUGGUUUCAUCCUUAAUGAAGAGUACAACAGCCUAUAAAGAACCUGCCAUAUUUUCAACAUAAGGGACCUCCACUGUAUAGCUUCAAAAUCAAGACCAAGUGUUUCCCAUCUAUAAUAUUUAUUUGUGUGGUUACCCAGUUAGGUUUUGCCCCUCUUAACAUUUUCCUCUGUACUUUCUAUUGAUAUCUUUUUUUGAAAGAGCUGAAUGGGAAUGCAGAUGAAACUGGGUUGGUUGGAAAAACCUGUGGAAAUUCUGCAUUAAUGUGUGAUUUUGGGGGAAAACUGAUUUACCCCAAUCAAACGUUAGCCUGUGAAUCCACUGCUGGUUUGCAACCAGUUGUCAAGUGUUGGACUUAAGAAUUCAGACCACCACAAAUGAAGUCCAGACCUUUGGGUCAGACCCCCCCGCUUCAUCUCGGUCCUCCAUGCUUCUCCUCUUCUUUGUUUCUUCAAAGAUAGCUACAAUGAAAUGUGAUAGUUGAUCUGAUCUCAGUCUUACUUGGGGUGAGUCAGCAGCAGUGACCAGUUAACAUCAGAUUCUUCUGAACAGUACACUAUGUAUAUGUGAAUGAAAACCUUUAAUGCACACUAAAAAUCUGGAGUCCUGCGACAAAUAGUUGAUGUGUAACAAUUACUGAAAUGCAUGUAAGCACACUGCAGAGUGUAGAGAUGAACCUGUGACAGCAUCAAAGACCUGUAACAUCAUUAGAUUUCACAGCCAUAGACGUGUUCGCUCUGUUAUAAUAAGAGUCGUGAUGCAGCAACAUUGCUGGUCUUAAAACACUGAGUGACCAACGUGUGGCUGCACUUGUACCUGCUGCAUGUGGGUUUGGUGUGUUGAUCCCAGUUAAAAGAAACGCCAUCUUGACUGGCUUCAUCAGUGUGAAAUAUUAAACUGACGGAACAUUUAAGUAAACACAAGGUAAACGGUGAAAGCAACACUUCUAUGAGGUGAUGUUCAGAUUAUCCCCAGCUGUAUCCUCGUGUUGUUUUUGCAGUACAUUGUACAAGAGUUGCUGUUAUUGUUUACACAGCUUGUGUGCCAUCUUGGGAAACUCAAAUUUUUUUCUUGUGUGUUUGUAUGCUGUGCUUUAUAUUACUAGUUAAGUUUCUAUAGAGCUUUUGUCAAUGUAAUCUGUUUACAUGAAAUAUUAUUAUGUUGUGUUUAGGACCUCUGGGGUGAUUAAGGUUGGGUGUUUGUGAUCUGAAAAGAAGGGUAAGGAUAGAAUGUGAUAACAUUGAACACUCCUAUAGUCUUUACAUGGUAAGAGAAGGAUAUGAAAACAAUUGAGUUUCAUAAGUGACUGACUGAACAUCUGAAUUAGAUGAAGUCAGGCAGUGUGAUGUGAUUUAAGUCUUUGAUAUGUGAUGGACUUGGUCCAGUCUUUUGAUUUAACCCUCCUAUAUUUUUAAGGAGUUGCAAUAAAAACAAUCCCCAACAGUGUCACAAAAAGUGGCCAAACUGCCAAAGCUACUUUGACCUGUAACUCCAAGUUUAAUGUAGAAUUAAAUAUUGUUUAGAGCCUCUUAAUCAAGAUCCAAUCUUAUCAAAAGUUACUUCUGAAGUACAUGAAAAGUUGUUGUUUGGAAGCAAUUGUUGCGUAUUAGUAUGCAUGAGCAUCAGUUUGUUCUUUAAACAACACAUUUUGUAACAGAUUUGCGGAAAUAAUGAAUUACCAAUGAACUGAAAUGUUACGUUUCAGUCAGGUGAAAUGAAAAAAGCUCAGCUCUGAAUGAAUACUGAACAGAAGCACCCAAGCUUUAAUCACUGGAGAGACCUGGUGUUCAUGUAAGUGGGGUUGGGGUUGAAUUAUUCAUUCAUAAUCAACUGUUGUUGUUGAACUACUUUUUGUA